AGAACUUCAAUGCCGGUGAAGGUUUCAAUAGAUUAGAAAGUAGUAUUAAAAUUCACGUACUUUCGUUCUUGGUGUGUACUACUAGUAUCUGAAGAACACAAAUGUUGGGUCCCGAGCUGCGGGGGGCUUAGAUUUACAUCUCGGUUGUGUAGUUGGGUACUUUUGGAUCACCACAUUUUGUCCAAUUUAUCUGUUGUAAACCAAUACGAUUCCCGUUUGGGUUGAUUAAUAAAGUAAUAUAUCGAUGAGAUGAGAUGGGUGGGCGCUCGCCGCUUGGGACUGUGCAGAUCACGAUACCCAUACGGAGUAAUAUGGUUGAGGGAGAAGUAGUUGCUUUUAAGGAAAACUAUCUAUCUUAUUAAAACUCAAGUACAAAAUUGGAGUGUUUGGAGACUUAAAUAGGAUUAUUAAAAAAAAUUGGAGUGUUUGGAAACAUGAAUUGUAGUCUUUUAAAAAAAAAAAAAUUGUUUGGAAACAAGGAUAGUAGUAUUAAGAAAAAAAAAGUAAUGGGCUUAUGUUUUUAAGAAAAACUAAAAGUCCAUUAUAUUAUAAAAAACUAUCUAUCUCGGCCAGAUUUAAAAUAUACGAAAACGGGUCAAUUUAAUUGCCUAAAACAUUUCUU
rnacentral:lncRNA from 1 species